rnacentral:rRNA from 1 species
UACGUAGGGGGCUAGCGUUGUCCGGAAUUAUUGGGCGUAAAGCGCUUGUAGGCGGUCUGUUAAGUCCUGUGUGAAAGCCCUUGGCUUAACCAAGGAAGUGCGCAGGAAACUGGCGGACUUGAGUGCCGGAGAGGGUCGCGGAAUUCCCGGUGUAGAGGUGAAAUUCGUAGAUAUCGGGAGGAACACCAGUGGCGAAGGCGGCGACCUGGACGGACACUGACGCAUGAGACGGCGAAAAGCGUGGGGAGCAAACAGG